rnacentral:tRNA from 1 species
AAACUUAUUUUCGUAGCUUCUAACUAUGAUAAAGUGCUUAUUUUCACUAAGUUUU